rnacentral:rRNA from 1 species
GAUGAACGCUGGCGGCGUGCCUAAUACAUGCAAGUCGAGCGAACAGACGAGGAGCUUGCUCCUCUGACGUUAGCGGCGGACGGGUGAGUAACACGUGGAUAACCUACCUAUAAGACUGGGAUAACUUCGGGAAACCGGAGCUAAUACCGGAUAAUAUAUUGAACCGCAUGGUUCAAUAGUGAAAGACGGUUUUGCUGUCACUUAUAGAUGGAUCCGCGCCGCAUUAGCUAGUUGGUAAGGUAACGGCUUACCAAGGCAACGAUGCGUAGCCGACCUGAGAGGGUGAUCGGCCACACUGGAACUGAGACACGGUCCAGACUCCUACGGGAGGCAGCAGUAGGGAAUCUUCCGCAAAGGGCGAAAGCCUGACGGAGCAACGCCGCGUGAGUGAUGAGGGUCUUCGGAUCGUAAAACUCUGUUAUUAGGGAAGAACAAAUGUGUAAGUAACUAUGCACGUCUUGACGGUACCUAAUCAGAAAGCCACGGCUAACUACGUG